rnacentral:pre_miRNA from 1 species
AGGAGGAACAACCGCAGUGGCGGGGCCAGCUCUGGAGCCCUGGAGUCAGCUCCCGCAGUAACUACUGAGCUCCCCGUCUGCAGGGCCUGGAGGCUCCGGGGCAGG